CAGGCGUCAUUUAACGACACACAUGCGCCGUCACGGUCCGCUGGGUGCCCGGCUAUCUCAUCGAGGUGCGGGGUUGCGGAUUGGGGCGCAUGGAGGUCCAAC
rnacentral:sRNA from 1 species